UGAAGAAGGCUCCAAAGGAGAGCCGAAACGUUGAUGUGUAUUUUAUAUAUAAAUAUAUAUAUAUAAAAUACAUAUCAACGUUUCGGCUCUCCUUUGGAGCCUUCUUC